GUGGGGAAUUUUGGACAAUGGGCGCAAGCCUGAUCCAGCAAUGCCGCGUGCAGGAAGAAGGCCUUCGGGUUGUAAACUGCUUUUGUACGGAACGAAACGGUCCGGGUUAAUACCCUGGGCUAAUGACGGUACCGUAAGAAUAAGCACCGGCUAACUUCGUGCCAGCAGCCGCGGUAAUACGAAGGGUGCAAGCGUUACUCGGAAUUACUGGGCGUAAAGCGUGCGUAGGUGGUGGUUUAAGUCUGCUGUGAAAUCCCCGGGCUCAACCUGGGAAUUGCGCUUGUGACUGAACAGCUGGAGUGCGGCAGAGGGGGAUGGAAUUCCGCGUGUAGCAGUGAAAUGCGUAGAUAUGCGGAGGAACACCGAUGGCGAAGGCAAUCCCCUGGGCCUGCACUGACGCUCAUGCACGAAAGCGUGGGGAGCAAACAGGAUUAGAAACCCUUGUAGUCC
rnacentral:rRNA from 1 species